GACUCCGUGGCGCAACGGUAGCGCGUCCGUCUCCAGAUCGCAAGGUUGCGCGUUCAAAUCACGUCGGGGUCA
rfam:Ciona savignyi cont_60374, whole genome shotgun sequence.